UUCAUUAGUUUUCAUGGUCAAAAUGAGAGAUCAGGUUUUUGAUCUUAAAAUAAAUCAAUAUUAAAUUUUUAUAGAGCGUUAAAGUUUUAGAAGCCAGGGGGUGGGACUACUUGAUUGACAGUCCGGUCUGGAAUGAUUGACAGGUCCUAUGGAGGAGGCAGCAGAGACUCUGCUCUCCUCGUUUGGAUUAAUUCUGAUAUAAUAACUGUUGGUUUAUUUAUCGGUGCAGCAGCAGAACAUUUUCCACAGACAGUUUUCCUGCCCGUUGGCUUGUUUUAACCAGUUUUCUACCUUCGGCUGAUUGUACCAGCAGACACUGAAAGGACUCUGAUAGUUCGAGUGAAAGUAGCAGUUCCUCCUGAAGGUCAGAGAUUGCAGCAUCUGAGGGCCUCUUCAAAAGAAGACGUAGUUGAUGAAGGCGUUCUGGAGCAGGACCAGAAAGACCACGACCAAGCAGCCUUGAGAUCUUAGACAGCGUCUCCCUCAGGUCCCUCUCUAUCUCCCCACACAUCCACCAACCACUGGAACACAUCUCCAAAGUUCUGCUGGACCAGCUCAGCUUCCCCUCAGAAGUGCUGCCACCUGCCAGAUGAAGGAGCCUUUUGAGAGGCAGCUGGCAUCGUGAUUGGACUGUACUUUGGUCUGUUCCAAUCCAGCUUCAGCUCCAGAGACGGCAGGCGGGACGAGUCAACGGAGGCCGGGUGGACGAAGGCAUGAAGCUGAGUACAAUCCAGAAAACAACAGAGGAGGAAUGCAGCAGCCCAGAGCCAGAACAACCAGAGUAGCAUCCGACUCCAUGGAUUUUAUGGAUGGUGGUUAAAGACCUGCUCUUCUAGUCGUCUUCUAGUCGCUGUAAAAAGUCAGUCCAUCCUGGCCGACUUCAACACCUCUUCAUGACAACUUGUUCUGCCUCCGACCUGGUGGAAACUCCAGAAACUCGGGAAAACCUGUGGAGACUCGAAGAACUCGUGGAGACUCGAAGAACUCGU
ensembl:lncRNA